rnacentral:lncRNA from 1 species
AUGAAGGAAUGUAAGGUUUGUUUGGUAAAGAUGUUAGAAUAUAAAAUAGUGGUUGGUACAUCUGUUGACUGUUGUCAACAGAUGGAUGGAAGUAGAUGUUUGAAACCACUGUUGGGUUAAAAACAAAGUUUUGGAAAGAAAACGGUGGUUACUUUUGUAAAAACAAUGGUUAAGUUUGACCUUUUUAGUCACAUAGUGGAUAAUGAAUACAUUGUUCUGUGUUGCAAAUAGUGGUUGACUAUAGUCAAACAGAGUUUUGAACCACUGAAACAGAUGUUUCACUCCUUUGAAUGGAUUUUCUUUUUUGAUGAUUUUUAAACAAUCUUUUUUUGAGAAAUGAAUAGAAAUUUUGGAAUUUUUAUAAUAACAAAUUAUUGUUUUAUUAAGAAAAUAUCUUUUUGAUGAAUUUUCAGAAAAUAUUUUUCAGAUAUUUAUUCAUGUGGUGAAAUGUGCUAGGGAAACCUUUGUUUGUGCUUUUAAAUUGCCAACAGAUGUCCCCUGCAGACAGUGGAAGUUUGUAAUGAAUCCCAAGCUUUGUAUGCUUUGGAUUUGGUACUUUCUUCCACUAUAUCAUCCCUUUGGCAAUGGUCUUUUGUGAUAAGUAGUUUUUGAACUAUUUCAAGCAUAUGUUGUUGACUCCCUGCAAGUGCUUUUACACUUGGGUCAACAGUUGUUUGACCAUUUCCAAUGAGCUGAUUAUAUCCAUGAGGAUGCCUGGUUAGUCUUGGCCUUUUGGGCAUGUGCACAGAAUCAUUAUACCUAGAAGGUACUCUGUGACAUGGUGGUUGCCCAUAGCCUCUGGGAUAUGUGUUUGAUGAUGGGGCAAUAAUGUUUGGAACAUCCUUGCAAACAUGGUUGUAGGGGCAUGGUUUAGUAGGUUUAUGUUUGUCUUGUAUAUAUUAGUAAUGGGUUGGUUAGUUAAGGUGUUCGGGUUUGAUUAGUUUGUUUAUGGGUGUACGAUUUGGGCUUGGCCCGGUUGUAACUAGGUCGCACCCUAUGUACUAUAAAUAGGGUGCACCUAGGUCUUUGAAUGGUUGCUUAUUGUUAGAGCUUUGAACGACACUUUGUACCAGACAAGUCUUUGAACUUAUGUGCAAGUCAUCAAUAACAAUCGAUUUCAUCUUAUUUUUGUUCUACACUUUCUUAGUUUUCCACAAUUUGAGUGUGGUUGUGAUAUCCGAUUGAAGAUCUAUGAACUUACAAUUGGCAUUGGAGCCUAAGAAGUCUUUCGAACGCUCGGUUUCUCCAGAUAUUACACGAAGAACAAGAUUGAGGAGUUUGCAGAUUCAUCAGUUUGUAAAAGAUUGAAAGGUUGAAGUCUGCUCUGUUUUAUUUUUGUUUUAAUCUUUGUUAUUCAACUGAUCAUCUUUCUCUAAGUUUUGAAAGGUUUUAAUUUACUGUUUGGUCGAAAUUCUGAAAUAAUCAGAACAUUUUUUAUAGAACAGUUUGAAGACUGAUUGA